GAUGAACGCUGGCGGCGUGCCUAAUACAUGCAAGUCGAGCGAACAGACGAGGAGCUUGCUCCUCUGACGUUAGCGGCGGACGGGUGAGUAACACGUGGAUAACCUACCUAUAAGACUGGGAUAACUUCGGGAAACCGGAGCUAAUACCGGAUAAUAUCUUGAACCGCAUGGUUCAAUAGUGAAAGACGGUUUUGCUGUCACUUAUAGAUGGAUCUGCGCCGCAUUAGCUAGUUGGUAAGGUAACGGCUUACCAAGGCAACGAUGCGUAGCCGACGUGAGAGGGGGAUCGGCCACACGGGAGCGGAGCCACGGUCCAGGCUCCUACGGGAGGCAGCAGUAGGGAACCUUCCGCAAUGGGCGAAAGCUUGACGGAGCAACGCCGCGUGAGUGAUGAAGGUCUUCGGAUCGGAAAACUCUGUUAUGAGGGAAGAACAAAUUUGUAAGUAACUAUGCACGUCUUGACGGUACCUAAUCAGAAAGCCACGGCUAACUACGUG
rnacentral:rRNA from 1 species